AAUCACCUGGGACUGCUCCUUUACUCUCUGCAGCUGGCUGAGGAGGCUGGCAUAUUGCAACUUCUCCAUCACACCUGAGGAUGCAGGAAAACUCCCCUAGUCUCAAAGUAAAAGAAAUGUUUUAGAACAAAACCACGGAAAUAGACCUCUCCCCAGGGCUGGAAGUCAGGGCUUGUGAUAACGUAUUUACAUCUUUUGAAAUAACGGAAUCUAGUACAAAUACAUGUUUCCUUCUACCAUUUUACAGAAUUGUCUUAUACCUCUUUUUCUAGUAGGUAAAUAUACAUAAAAGGGAGUCCUUUGGAGAACUGUUGAGACGGAUUUGCUGAUUGUCUUGCAUUAGGGAGCUAGGCUGAGGGGAAAAGAGGGGACUAAAUUUGAAUCUGCACUUCACUCACCCAGGAGUGAUCCCACAGAGCUGUGUCUGCCUAGAAGGGGCGACUUUAUCUAUAUCACCAAAGCAUCAUAAAAGAAAUGAAUGGCAGUAUCAUCAGAACAACCACCCAUAUGUUUUCCCAAAGCAAGACAUUGUGAGGUGUUAAGAGAUAUAUGCAGAGUCUCGCUCUGUCUCGCCCAGGCUGGAGUGCAGUGGUGUCAUCUUGGUUCACUGUGGCCUCUCCCUCCCGGGUUCAAGUGAUUCU
rnacentral:lncRNA from 1 species